rnacentral:lncRNA from 1 species
AAGAAUUAUGUGAUGACGAAUGAGUGGUGGGAAGUUGAAGGGGAAGGGUGCAGCUUGACGAGCAUGCACGUGCUCAGAGACUGGCCAAAGCCACAGGGCAGCAGGACUAAUUUUAGUCCCCACCUACUGGCGGAAAUCGGGCUCCAAAUAUUCUGCCAGGUUUGAUUGAAAUUGCAUUUCAAAGCUGCAAAAAAGAGAUGGGAAGUUUCGAGAGAGGAAAGACCAUGUCUGCCUUAUUUGUUGUGUCUAGGAACAGCCUGAGGCACAUAGCAAGUGGUCUUAAAUAUUUGCUGAGCUGGAAGAGCUGGAUUCUCACUCUGUCUGUGACACCCAUUUGCUGUGAGAUAGGCAAAUGAUUCCUUUUUCUCUGGGCUUUCAUUUCUUUACAAGUGCAAUGAAGCAGCUGAGCCCAAUGCUAGCAAAACCACUUCUAGUUCACAUAUUCUAUGAUUAGAGAAGAAGCACUUGAUUUCCCAGAAAUCUGACCAAGCUUACACCUAGAUCAAUCUAUGGGAAGUAUUGAAGUAACAUGAACCCCAUGACACUUCCUGCGUUAUACUCUUCAACAUCUUCCUUGGCCACAGGAGAAAGCAAACAGCCUUUUUCCAAUCAUUCCGCACUGAUGGGACUUGGGUUUUCUUGUGAAUUUAAAGUUUUCUUUCUGUUAAUAGAAAAGGGGCCAUAUUGACCUAGAAGCAUUUCAGUUUGUUUCCCUCCAGGGAACCGGCUGAGUGUUUGUGAAACUCCUAUUUGCCACAGUGCCAGGUUUACUGACUGAAGCUCAUUAAACCACAGGGCAGCCCUUCAGAGUUUCCUGAGCUGCAGAACAGCUGAGUGAGUUCAUUCUGACCCAGGAAGCAUGCUUAUAGAGGCUUCUUAUCCAAGCCUCAAGCAGUUUACCAGCUCCUGGCUCCGGAUUAUUCAUGGGCUGGGAGAAGGAGGAGGAGGGCACGGUGAUCUGAGCGGACCCCUUGAGAGAGCAAAGCUGCACUUUGGUGAUGGUGGUUUAACUGCACCCCAUGUGGAGGCUUAGUCAAGGUCAGUCAUCAAGUGACCCAGAAAA